UACGUAGGGGGCUAGCGUUGUCCGGAUUUAUUGGGCGUAAAGAGCGUGUAGGCGGCCAGGUAGGUCUGGUGUGAAAACUCGAGGCUUAACCUCGAGAUGUCAUCGGAAACCAUCUGGCUAGAGUCCGGAAGAGGAGAGUGGAAUUCCUGGUGUAGCGGUGAAAUGCGCAGAUAUCAGGAAGAACUCCAAUGGCGAAAGCAGCUCUCUGGGACGGUACUGACGCUGAGACGCGAAAGCGUGGGGAGCGAACAGG
rnacentral:rRNA from 1 species